rnacentral:rRNA from 1 species
GACAGAGGGUGCAAACGUUGUUCGGAAUUACUGGGCGUAAAGCGCGUGUAGGCUGCCUUGCAAGUCGGGUGUGAAAGCCCUGGGCUCAACCUAGGAAGUGCACUCGAAACUGGCGGGCUUGAAUAUGGAAGAGGGUCGCGGAAUUCCCGGUGUAGAGGUGAAAUUCGUAGAUAUCGGGAGGAACACCAGUGGCGAAGGCGGCGACCUGGGCCAAUAUUGACGCUGAGGUGCGAAAGCGUGGGGAGCAAACAGG